rnacentral:rRNA from 1 species
UACGAAGGGGGCUAGCGUUGUUCGGAAUUACUGGGCGUAAAGCGCACGUAGGCGGGUCGUUAAGUCAGGGGGUGAAAUCCCAGAGCUCAACUCUGGAACUGCCUUUGAUACUGGCGACCUAGAGUCCGGAAGAGGUUAGUGGAAUUCCCAGUGUAGAGGUGAAAUUCGUAGAUAUUGGGAAGAACACCAGUGGCGAAGGCGGCUAACUGGUCCGGUACUGACGCUGAGGUGCGAAAGCGUGGGUAGCGAACAGG